AACUUUUGGCAACGGAUCUCUUGGUUCUCGCAUCGAUGAAGAACGCAGCGAAUUGCGAUAUCUAGUGUGAUUUGCAUGAAUCUGUGAGUCAUCAAGUCUUUGAACGCAACUUGCACCUCCUGGGCAACUGGGAGGUAUGUCUGUUUGAGUAUGGGUUGAACUAUUGUCUCUGGCUAGGGGCAGACUUGGGGUCGCAGUCUCUUGGGAGUGGACCCUUAAAUGCAGCAUAUGGGGUAAAGGACUACCUUGCUAUGUGCUAGAGGCCAGCUCGGUCUUGUCAUAGCAAGGGCGUCUCUUGGCUCGUGGACAGGCUGCUGUUCACACUUCUUACUACUCACCGUCUCAAAUCAGGCAAGAUUACCCGCUGAACUUAAGCAUAUCAAUAAGCGGAGGCU
rnacentral:misc_RNA from 1 species